rnacentral:lncRNA from 1 species
AAAUUCAACCCCACCAACUCACCAAGUUCAGUGCGAAUCCCUUCUGAGCCCUGGUUCCGAUCUACACAGUAUCUCCACCACAACAACUACCAAUUCCAACUUCCACAAAACCAUAACAAGUUUUGGUUACCAUCAAACCCAAACUAUUGUUUCGUUUGAUUGCGAUUAUGGCUGGUUUCCGUCAGAUGAUGAGGUAUCGAAGCAGUAAACGAAUCGCUAAGGGUUUAUUUUGCUACUGAUUUUGAACGGGUUCUCUAGGGUUGAGAAUUUUGAACGGGUUCUCUAGGGUUAGUGAAGACAACACCCUCGACUUCAUCAUCAAUUCAUCACUCACAUCAGCGAAGCGACGUCAUCAUCCUGAAGACAACACCCUCGACUUCAUCUGGCCGCUACCACCGUCAAUCAUCAGGUAUGAUAUCAAGUUGAACAAUGCUAUCCUUGCUGAAGACAAGCAUUUGCCCAUGUAUGAAGAAAUGUCUUCUAAAUACAAUGUAGAGUACAUUGCUAGAGGUGCUACUCAAAACUCAAUCCGAGUUGCCCAAUGGAUGCUUCAAAUCCCUGGUGCAACGAGUUAAAUGGGUUGUGUUGGAAAGGACAAGUAUGGUGAGGAGAUGGAAAAGAACUCAAAAAGUGCACUAUUAUGAGGAUGAAAAUGCACCAACCGGUACAUGUGUUGUCUGUGUUGUUGGUGGCGAGAGUUAUUGGCAAAGGGGAUGAGACCAUCAAAGGCAUGCAAGACAGUUCUCGAGCAUGUAUUCAGAUGAUGUGGAAGACGUGCGUUCCAGCUAUGGACAUGUGAACACUUGGAGGAUCAUAUGACAUCAGAUAUGGCCACCAGCCUAUAGAUGCAAAUUUGCAGCACUCCUAUGUUCAAAAUCAUUGAGUAUAUGGAUUUGAAGAAUAAAGAGUCUAGAAAUAGUUCUUUUUUAUCCAACUUUUGUAGAUAUGUUUUAUUAAAAGUUUAUAUCUUUAAUUAGUAUUUAAAUUGAAAUUUGUGUGUGAAUUUUGAGUUAUUAUUAUUAAUAUUAUUUGGUUAUUAGAUUU